UACCUUGUUACGACUUAAUACAAUAAUCGGUUUCACCUUAGGCCCACUAAUGUGGGAUUUCGGGUGCCCCCGACUUUCGUGGCUUGACGGGCGGUGUGUACAAGACCCGGGAACGUAUUCACCGUAGUGUGCUGACCUACAGUUACUAGCGAUUCCGGCUUCAUGCAGGCGGGUUUCAGCCUACAAUCCGAACUGGGACCGGCUUUGAUGGGGUUAGCUCCGUCUCGCGACUUGGCUGCCCUUUGUACCGGCCAUUGUAGCGCGUUUGUAGCCCAAGGCAUAAGGGAAAUACUGACCUGACGUCAUCCCCUCCUUCCUCCCUGUUACCAGGGCAGUCUGAUUAGAAAAAUUCAACUAAUCACAAGGGUUGCGCUCGUUGCGGGACUUAACCCAACAUCUCACGACACGAGCUGACGACGGCCAUGCAUCACCUGUCACUGCGUUCCAAAGGCACAAACACCUUUCAGUGUUCUUCGCAGGAUGUCAAGCCUUGGUAAGGUUCUUGGCUUAGCCUCCAAUUAAACAACACGCUCCACCGCUUGUGCGGGUCCCCGUCAAUUCCUUUGAGUUUUAGUCUUGCGACCGUACUCCCCAGGCGGGAUGCUUUAACGCGUUAGCUUCGCUUCUGAGAGGGUCGAUACUCCCAAAUAGCUAGCAUCCAUCGUUUACAGCGUGGACUACCCGGGGUAUCUAAUCCCGUUCGCUCCCCACGCUUUCGAGCCUCAGCCGUCAGAAAAUGGAACCAGUAAGCCCUGCCUUCGCAAUUGGGUGUUCCCUCCCGAAUAUCUCCGGAAUUA
rnacentral:rRNA from 1 species